rnacentral:rRNA from 1 species
AGAGUUUGAUCCUGGCUCAGGAUGAGCGCUGGCGGUCUGCUUAACACAUGCAAGUCGAACGGUUGUAGAAAUACAGCAGUGGCGGACGGGUGAGUAACGCGUGAGAAUCUAGCUUUUGGUCGGGGACAACCAUUGGAAACGAUGGCUAAUACCGGAUGAGCCGCAAGGUAAAAGAUUAAUUGCCAAGAGAAGAGCUCGCGUCUGAUUAGCUAGUUGGUAAGGUAAAGGCUUACCAAGGCAUCGAUCAGUAGCUGGUCUGAGAGGACGAUCAGCCACACUGGGACUGAGACACGGCCCAGACUCCUACGGGAGGCAGCAGUGGGGAAUUUUCCGCAAUGGGCGAAAGCCUGACGGAGCAAGACCGCGUGAGGGAGGAAGGCUCUUGGGUCGUAAACCUCUUUUGUCAGGGAAGAAAAAAAUGACGGUACCUGAAGAAUCAGCAUCGGCUAACUCCGUGCCAGCAGCCGCGGUAAUACGGAGGAUGCAAGCGUUAUCCGGAAUUAUUGGGCGUAAAGCGUCCGCAGGUGGUCAAUCAAAGUCUGCUGUCAAAGAGUGUGGCUUAACCACAUCAAGGCAGUGGAAAACUGAAGGACUAGAGUGCUCAAGGGGUAGAGGGAAUUCUCGGUGUAGCGGUGAAAUGCGUAGAGAUCGGGAAGAACAUCGGUGGCGAAAGCGCUCUACUGGAGAGCAACUGACGCUCAGGGACGAAAGCUAGGGGAGCGAAUGGGAUUAGAUACCCCAGUAGUCCUAGCCGUAAACGAUGGAUACUAGGUGUGGCUUGUAUCGACCCGAGCCGUGCCGAAGCUAACGCGUUAAGUAUCCCGCUGGGGGAGUACGCACGCAAGUGUGAAACUCAAAGGAUUUGACGGGGGCCCGCACAAGCGGUGGAGUAUGUGGUUUAAUUCGAUGCAACGCGAAGAACCUUACCAGGGCCUGACAUGUCGCGGAUCUUUUUGAAGGGAAAGAGUGCCUUCGGGAGCGCGAACACAGGUGGUGCAUGGCUGUCGUCAGCUCGUGUCGUGAGAUGUUGGGUUAAGUCCCGCAACGAGCGCAACCCUCGUCCUUAGUUGCCAGCAUUAAGUUGGGCACUCUAGGGAGACUGCCGGUGACAAACCGGAGGAAGGUGGGGAUGACGUCAAGUCAGCAUGCCCCUUACGCCCUGGGCGACACACGUACUACAAUGCUACGGACAAAGGGCAGCAAGCAUGCGAAUGCAAGCCAAUCCCAGAAACCGUGGCUCAGUUCAGAUCGCAGGCUGCAACUCGCCUGCGUGAAGGAGGAAUCGCUAGUAAUUGCAGGUCAGCAUACUGCAGUGAAUCCGUUCCCGGGCCUUGUACACACCGCCCGUCACACCAUGGAAGCUGGCCACGCCCGAAGUCGUUACCCUAACCGUUCGCGGAGGGGGAUGCCGAAGGCAGGGCUGGUGACUGGGGUGAAGUCGUAACAAGGUAACC